rnacentral:lncRNA from 1 species
AUCAGGGUUUCGAGUGGAUGAUCUAUGGAGGCCGGACGACCUGUGCGGCUGUUCGACAUCAGUGAGAGCUUCAUACCAUGCCUACCAGUAGCGGAGAUCAUUGAUCCAUGAAAAUAUGAUGAGUUCUGAACUCAACUAAUAUGAUCUAAAGGUUAGAUCAGAUUCAGGGCAUCGAUGUGAUCAGUGUAGUUUUCUGUUUUAUAUCAUAUUUUAUAU